rnacentral:rRNA from 1 species
AGCGGCGCAAGGGAGAGUAACGCGUAGAUACCUACCCCCAGGUUCGGUAUAGCGGCACCUGCUUGCAGGUUUCCGAAAGGGCCGGUAAUACCGGAUAAUGUCUCCGGACCAAAGAUUUAUCGCCCGGGGAUGGGUCAGCGUCCUACUAGCUUGUUGGUGGGGUAAAAGCCUACCAAGGCCAAGAUGGGUACCGGGUGUGAGAGCAUGACCCGGCUCACUGGGACUGAGACACUGCCCAGACACCUACGGGUGGCUGCAGUCGAGAAUCUUCCGCAAUGGGCGAAAGCCUGACGGAGCGACGCCGCGUGCGGGAUGAAGGCCUUCGGGUUGUAAACCGCUGUCAGUGGGGAGGAAAUCACUUCGGUGUUGACCGAUCCGCAGAGGAAGCGCAGGCUAAGUUCGUGCCAGCAGCCGCGGUAACACGAACUGCGCGAACGUUAUUCGGAAUCACUGGGCUUAAAGAGUUCGUAGGCGGCCAAGUCAGUCGGGUGUGAAAUCCCUCGGCUCAACCGAGGAACUGCGCCCGAUACUGCUUGGCUUGAGGAAGUCAGAGGUGAGCGGAACUGAUGGUGGAGCGGUGAAAUGCGUUGAUAUCAUCAGGAACACCGGUGGCGAAAGCGGCUCACUGGGGCUUUUCUGACGCUGAGGAACGAAAGCUAGGGGAGCGAACGGGAUUAGAUACCCCGGUAGUCCUAGCUGUAAACGAUGAGCACUGGGUCGAGGGGACCUCCACCUCUCCUCGGCCGUAGGGAAACCGUUAAGUGCUCCGCCUGGGGAGUAUGGUCGCAAG